rnacentral:rRNA from 1 species
UACGUAGGGGGCAAGCGUUGUCCGGAUUCAUUGGGCGUAAAGAGCGUGUAGGCGGCCAGGUAGGUCGGUUGUGAAAACUGGAGGCUCAACCUUCAGAGGUCGACCGAAACCAUCUGGCUAGAGUCCGGGAGAGGAGAGUGGAAUUCCUGGUGGAGCGGUGAAAUGCGUAGAUAUCAGGAGGAACGCCGGCGGCGAAAGCGGCUCUCUGGCCUGGAACUGACGCUGAGGCGCGAAAGCUAGGGGAGCAAACGGG